ACCUGCCAGGUGAGACACGGAAAAGACAGUCAAGUCCUCGCAGUAAACCCGCUUCUUCACCAUUCUGAGAGGAGCUGAACGCGAGUGGUCCGCUGACCCUGCACGCCGGACAGUUUCCAGGUUAAAAAAAACCCCAGACAAUCAAAAACACCUGUUGCGUCCGGCUGACCUGCGAUUAUCAGCGCGACCCGCAGUGCUCAAUAUCAUUAACCGGGUACCAACACCUUGGUAGGCCCGCACUUGUGAGCUCCGGCAGGUACAGGAAGAGCACCAAACGCCUGCCUCUGUCCGCAGAGAUUCCCGCCUGCAGAACUUGUGUUAUCCGCACAGCUGGAAACUUUGCCUGGGAAUUUCUGUGCUCAAAUUUCAGUCAUUGUUUCUGGUCGUGUGUGUAACUUCCCAUCCCGGCCUUUAGCGCAGGGCUGCCUGCCACAUGGUUUGGAGGGAUUUCUGUAAAUCAUGUUUUAAAUCUGGGCUGCAUAAUUGAACUAUUCCAGCGUCACUGACUGUUACACGAGCAGAGUCAACAUCAGUGUCACCACUGUAUCAUUUGAUUUAGCAGCACUACAACCCAACAGCUGCAUGCUGGUGGGCCUGACCUCCUCAUGCAUCUGCUGUCCCAGCAGAGUGAUCUCCAGAGGAUUGUAGCGUUUCCUUUAAGACUGCCCAAACUGAAGCCGAUCACAGGUUCACAGCAGCAGCCGCUUUUCUGGCUGUUCAGGUGUAGCUUCCAGUAGUUCAGUUGUGACAUAUCCCAUGGAGGGCAUGGCAGUGGUGUUACCACUUGCAGACAAACCUUCAGUAUUUCAGGUAUGUUGGUGAACCAGCUCUGUUCUCAGAGGAAGGGUGUGACUGUACUUUAGAGUGGCAGAAUUUAAUUAAAACUCUGACAAUAAAAGGCUAUCUGCUGCUGGCACUAAACACUUCACACAAGGAUGUCGCACACGAGUACAUGACUUUAACAUGAUGAAAGGAAAAAUGAUUGCUUGUUUCUCUAUGCAGCAAUACAAAUAAAGCAGCACUUCCUGCUAUACUGUGUCUUCCUUUCAUUUAGCAUGGCUGAAAUCACCUAAGUGACACUUAAAACUUGAGUGAUACGAACAGUCUCAGUUCAAACUGACUUUAAGUAGUAGGUGUAGUUUCUUGAAGUCUAAGGUUUUCAAGAGGACUCAAAUCCAGAGGCUUUGAGCAGUUUCUGCCUUUGGAAACUCAAAACCUGUACUACAGGUAACUCUGUGAUUACAUGUGCCAGGGUCAGAGGUCACUGAAGGCUUCAAACGUUCUGCAUUACGAGUUCUCCCACAUCAGGCGGGCCCCAGAGGGGGUGACUGCAGGUCAUCAUGAGCAGAGGAGUGAAACUUAGGUCACUGAAUAUCUUGACCAAUAAACUAAUGUGACCUUUAACACGAACCCCCCCCCCCCUGUAUUCUUAUCAACUAAUGCUGUGGGAUGAAGCAGGCAUGUCAGGUGAGAUGUGCUGAGUGGCCUACAGCUUCACAAACACGUUGUAUUCAUGGUGUAAAUGCUGAUGCAAUUUAUUACAUUUUGAGAUGCUACAAGUAAAAGCAACUUAAAUUCAUUUUACUUUAAAAGUCCAACAUGUUGAUUCAUGAUUGGUAGAUUGCAUAAAGCCCUAAAUCAAAGAAAACAGACAACACAUGAAAGUAAAGUCAUAUCUGAAGCACAACAUACACAAAUACACAUCACUGUGAUCUGUACCCUCACCAACUGGAAGCACGUCCACUAGGUGGCGCUCUCAUCAAAGAAUAAAUUAGGGAGACCCACCACAGUGGGUGCGCUAGCUCCGCUACAACCACAACUUUUAAUCCCUCCAAUUUGUAAAGUCCCUGAAAAACAACACGUAUAUGGCACAUCUCUCAUUCUGUCAACAGCAAGUAGCACACACUGUAGUUCAAUGACAGUUGCAUGUUUGUUCAAUGCACUACGAGAGAAAAGUUUCUGCUUACAGCACAGGGGCUUGUUCUCCACGCAGAUUUAUAAUUUCAGCAACAUUUAUUACAAAGCAAAAACUCUACGCAGCACCAAAUGCUCAAUGAGUGAGUCAUUGUGUGGCAAUCACAAACAUUUCAGCAAUGUGCUCUUCAUUAUCCGUUUUUUUCCUCUCAUAGCCAAAAAUAUCAGGACCUGAAGAAAUAUAAAACAAAACACUAGAAUAUCUCCUUUCUGCAAGCAGGAAGUAUGAGACCGGACAGUCCUGGAUGUGACAGCGGGGAAGCUUGGCCAAUGAAAACUGAGGAAACAAUGUGAGGAAAAAAGAAAUUUACAAAAAUAAAUAUAAAGCUCCCUUUCUCAAUAAAGACAACGAGCAGGAUACAAGUUUCAUGGAGGGAGAACCGAACAGUUUCCACAUGAUUUGGUCGAAUGUAAAAAACAAGAACGCAGAUUUAAACACAGCAUCUGAGCAUGAACUCAGGUUUGACACAGGCAACACAUGCAUUUCAUUUGGUACUGGUUCUUUUAUGGGCCAGCUGGAAAUGACAAGCUCAUAUGAAAUAUUGGCAGAAGACUGAAAUACUGUACAGCAGUAUAUGUGAGCACAUAUUUAGUUUCUACAGAGAGAUUAUUAUUGGCUGUUUGCAGCUUUAGCCCUUUCUGAUAAUAAAGAGGGAGCCAGUUAAUAUUGAUACAGAGCUGAGAUGCAUGUACACAUCUGUACACUCUCAGUAAGCAUGCACAUAGAAACAGUGAGUCAUAUACAGUCAUACCACUACAGUUUAAGAAAGACAGGAUUAAGUGGAAAAAAAAAAAAAAAAGCUCCCCUCACAAGCAAAUAAAAC